CCCCAGGCAAUUGCUCACUCCCUGAUCUUGUUAGGAAUGACUAAUGUCUUGUGGUCCUUAAGAUCUGCUCCAGGCACUGCCCCUCCCACAGGAUGUGGCCAUAUGGGUUGAAUCUUGGGGGCUGGGGUUGUUUGGUACAUUGUGGCACUGGAAAGAUGCCCCGAGAGUCAGUCCUUCAGCACAUGCCCCAAUUGUGCAGCUGUGUGAGUCCAUGUGUCCUAAGCCAUCACGUCCUGCUUUCCUGUAUCCUUUUAUAAAAAGAUAGCUAGGGAACUGAAUGUCAUUUUCAAAGCUAUGAGAUUCAGAGUGGUACAUGAUGGCUUUUAAGGAGCACGUGGAAGAUCCACAUUCUGUCGUAUUCGGGGUCCGUGUGAGCGAGUGUAUGCAUAUGUGUGAUAAAUACAACCCAGUGUUCUUUUAUGUGACUGCAAAUAUCCUUAACAAGUGUAAUACUGUUGAGAGUGUUGUGAAGCUGGGUGUGUUUUCCACUGUGUGUCUGUGGGGCUGUAGCUGUCAUGGUGUCACAGUGAGUUUACGGACUGGUGCCUGCGCGUGUCAAGCUAUGUGUGAACCUCCCCAUAAAUAGCAGCAGAGCCAGAGCGGAGCCAUGGCGCCAGCGGCUGGAGCAGCAAGGAGUCAGGGCCAGGCUCAGAACCGGAGAGAGGAGCCCCCCGACUGCGUGAGCCCAGGUGAGCCCACCUGUCCUCCCCAGCCCAGCCCCAGCCCAGCCCAGCCUGGCUCAGUCUCCAUAACAACAUCUCCUCUAACCCCCAGGGAGGUCCCCAGCCCUGCCCGAUCCCCUCACCACCACAUGUCCCUGCCUACCUCAGAAGACCCACCAGAACUGGGAGACUAGCAUAGCAGCCAGGAAGCCAGAGCCCCAGCCCAGACCCUCCCUCACAUACCCAGAAAGACACACGUGGUGGAGGAGGUGGUGGGUAUCCAGCCAGAGAAGGCUCCCCAUUCUGAGGGGAGGUAAGGAACUGUCACACCCUCCUGGAGAUGGACACAUGACAGAUGGGGACAGACACAGAGGGGGGGGCGUCCAGACACAUUGAUGCACACUCGCCUGGGGGAAGCUGCGGCAUGGGAUCAGACAGCCUCACUCUGACAUCUGGCCAGAAACAGCUGGAUGGACUGACCGGCCGUGAACUCAGGCCACAGUGCCCCGCCUGCUGCUGCCCGAGGCUCGGUACCACCGCUGGGGGAGGCUGGUGCGCAUGCAUCCCCAUGGACAGAACGGAGGGGGCUGUGAGCUCCCCCAAAUCCUGUCGCUAAGAGACAGUGCCACUGCUGCCAAGAAGUGUGAGAACAGGGGAGGUGGGAGGAGGAAAGGCUUCUCGUCAGUGGGAGCCCUGCGGGAGCCUGGGGGAGCUUUCCGGCAGAGACCUGGUCCUGAUCUUAACUCCAAGCCCACCACCCUCCUUCCCACGAGCCAGCCAGAGAUGACUGAAGGGAUAGGGAGGCAGCCCAGCAGAGCACCUUCCCACCUGUCUCCUCUACCCACUGCAGACUCCAUUCCUGAAGCCUGUUCUUUCAGACCUUCAGGGGCCUCUCCAGCCCCUGCCCCAGCCCCUUGUCCCAGUUCAGCUCCCUCAUGCCAAGACUGAGUGCAGUGCUGGCUCAAACACCAGUCGGGAAAUAGCAGAAGGUGCUGAGACAGCAGAAAGUGUGGAUCAAUCGAUGGCCUGGGAGCCAAGGCUGCCAGAAACCCAGCUUGCAUCCCAACCCUCCAGCCCUUUCAAGCCCCAUCCACACACACCUGGUGACAUGUCUGACCCUGAGAUGGGAUGUGGUGCCUGAGCCCCCAACCAUGACGUUGGGGGCCUCCCCUGGUGGAGCUGGGAUGAGUAUCCUGCCAUGGCCUCUUGGACCGGAGACACUCUGGCCAAGCCCCACCCCUGUGUGCUGCUCAAGCUGUACUCUGACGCAAGCAAUGGGUAGAGGGGUAGAGC
rnacentral:lncRNA from 1 species